CUUUUUUUUAAUAAUAAUAAUAAUAAUAAUAAUAAUAAUAUCUAAAUAUUUACAGCUCAGGCAUGUACAGUAGUACCUUACUUGUGCAUAAUUAAAGGAAGCAUGGACCAGAAUUACACAUACAUUUCAAAAAUUAAAGUGUCCAUAAAGUGAGUGAGCGCUGAUUUGAGCCUGUCAGUCUAACAGCUGGGGGGAUGAAGGACCUGCUCCUUCCUACACUGUGGGUGGAUCAGUCUGCCACUAAGGGAGCUGCUCAGACCACAGUCUAGUGCGGUGGAUCUGUUCCACAACUAGUUCCACCUGUUCAGGUGUGUCCAGAGACACACAUUCCUACUAAAGCCAGGCCUGUUGGCUGUUUGGUAACAGUAAGCUUCUUUGUGUGGCUCUAAUCCUUUCCACUGCGUAGUCAAAUAUAAAAGACAGUCAGCUGAAAGCAAUCUGUGUCCAGAUACAUGGACAGUUUGGACAAAUCAUCACACAUGUACAGUCAUGGAAAAAGAAUUUGGGACCACAUGUACAGUGAAAGCUCCCAGACAGAAGUACCUUAUCAUUGAGUCUGGAGAAGUCUGCAUAUCUUCUAAAAACAACCCAGUUCAUAUCGGGAGACUUCCUGACAAGGAUCUUGUACACCUGCAGCAGAGAAGAGACAGCACACGUGUACAGUACAAUAUGAACCCAUUUCCUUAACGGCUUGUUUCUCUCUGCUUUUGUGAAGUGUCUGAUUUAUAUGGUAAAUAAUAAAACCAGUGUGUGUUGAGUAAAUGCUGAUAUUAGAA